rnacentral:rRNA from 1 species
UAGGGAAUCUUCCACAAUGGACGCAAGUCUGAUGGAGCAACGCCGCGUGAGUGAAGAAGGUUUUCGGACCGUAAAGCUCUGUUGUUGGUGAAGAAGGAUAGAGGUAGUAACUGGCCUUUAUUUGACGGUAAUCAACCAGAAAGUCACGGCUAACUACGUGCCAGCAGCCGCGGUAAUCGUAGGUGGCAAGCGUUGUCCGGAUUUAUUGGGCGUAAAGCGAGCGCAGGCGGAAGAAUAAGUCUGAUGUGAAAGCCCUCGGCUUAACCGAGGAAUUGCAUCGGAAACUGUUUUUCUUGAGUGCAGAAGAGGAGAGUAGAACUCCAUGUGUAGCGGUGGAAUGCGUAGAUAUAUGGAAGAAUACCAGUGGCGAAGGCGGCUCUCUGGUCUGCAACUGACGCUGAGGCUCGAAAGCAUGGGUAGCGAACAGGAUUAGAUACCCUGGUAGUCCAUGCCGUAAACGAUGAGUGCUAAGUGUUGGGAGGCUUCCGCCUCUCAGUGCUGCAGCUAACGCAUUAAGCACU